CCUACGGGCGGCAGCAGUGGGGAAUAUUGGACAAUGGGGGGAACCCUGAUCCAGCCAUGCCGCGUGUGUGAAGAAGGCCCUCGGGUUGUAAAGCACUUUCAGUGAGGAAGAACGCCUGGUGGUUAAUACCCAUCAGGAAAGACAUCACUCACAGAAGAAGCACCGGCUAACUCCGUGCCAGCAGCCGCGGUAAUACGGAGGGUGCGAGCGUUAAUCGGAAUUACUGGGCGUAAAGCGCGCGUAGGUGGCUUGAUAAGCCGGUUGUGAAAGCCCCGGGCGCAACCUGGGAACGGCAUCCGGAACUGUCAAGCUAGAGUGCAGGAGAGGAAGGUAGAAUUCCCGGUGUAGCGGUGAAAUGCGUAGAGAUCGGGAGGAAUACCAGUGGCGAAGGCGGCCUUCUGGACUGACACUGACACUGAGGUGCGAAAGCGUGGGUAGCAAACAGGAUUAGAUACCCGAGUAGUC
rnacentral:rRNA from 1 species